GAAAUCCAAAUCCAUACCACAUCACAUUAUAUAAAUACGUUAAAGUCAAAAUACAUUAACCACAAUUAAUGUGAAAACAUAUUAUAAAUUCAGUCAUCUUAGCCAAAUCAUCUUCUCAAUAAAAGUGACAAUAAAAACUAACACUGAUUCACAUGUUUGACACUCACAACAAUAGACAAGUUGCAAACUAAUAUUUAGAUGACUAAAGACCACAAAAGUGUUUUCAUGAUGGCGUUCAUGCACCAUGAGGUUGGGGCUGCUGAGUUGAUUGAGCUCUUAAGAGAAAACAACCAGUUUAUCCAUUUCUCAGUGCUUCUUUUCUAGGCCUUAAUUCUUGCCUUCCUAAUGUCUUCCAGUUCUUCUUGAUCCGAUCCAUCUCUUCAAGUGCUCCCUCUUAUGCUUUAAGUCCCACGAUUAACUCCUGGUGAUGCCUAUAAAUUAAUGAAACAAAGAAGCAAGGAAUCUUUAUUAGAUGAAAACAAACAAGACAACAAGGUACAAGAGUCCCACUAAGAAUCUUACAAUCUAUAUCAAACUAUAAAUCUGAAAUAGAGGAGUAUUGUACAUUAUUAAGUAUAAAGGCAAUCAUGAAGGUGGGCCAAUGAAACAAUAAACCCAAGAAUAAGUUAUAAUGGUUAAAUAGCACGCAUAACAAAAGCUAGAUUAUAUUUAAGAACAUGCAAUCCAUGCAUCUCUCAAAGUGGCACAUGCCUGACUGCUGUGUUUAUCUUCUGCAUGAAAUGCCCUCCUUUCCAUCUCACUCACCGAAACUAGUGGCGUGGUUGUAGUACUUGAAGCUGCAAAAGAUGACGAGAGUGCAAUGAAUUGCCAAACUACCUAACUGCCAAUGGUAUAUACACUAACAAAAUAAAUUUCACUUAAACUUGUUUAGAAUUGGACCUGAAAAUAUGUAGCCAUUUUCCCUGUGCAUGCGUACUUUCCUGAAACACAAAUGAAUAUAGUAAUGUAGAUAGCUCAGAAUGUAAAUACAUGAUGCACUAAUAUUGUAUAUAUAACUAAUGCAAACAUAGAUUGGCUUUGCAUUGGUAUUCAAAAAAUAAACAAUAUAUAUUGUGUAAAGCAGUGAUGUAAACUCGAAAUACUGUUAAUAGGCAGUGCACGCAAGACAAUAUUAACAAAAAUUGAAGAUUUCAAUGCAUUGGGAUCUAAAAAAGUGGUCCAAGCAGCAUGCAGGAUGCAGCUAGGGCACGGUCGGCGAGAAGCAAUCAGCAAGCCUAAGAAAACAAGGCAAGAAACUUAAUAUUAGUAUAGGCAAUGGCAUAGUUCAGAAAAUCAUAAAGUUUAUUACACUAGUUGGCAUAGUUUAGAAAACAAGAAAGAACCUCACAACCAGGUAAAACCUACAGCCAACAUGCACUCAACGAUGAAGUGCAACCCAAAUAAGCAAUACACGGGGGCCCUGUAGGCAUGUACACGCAGAUGGAACUAUGGAUUGCUACUAGAAAAUAGAUGCAUGGUGAUAUGAACUGAGUAAUUUCUGAAAUUGCAAAAAUGGAAAAUACAGUGGAUGUUUGCCUGAAUUCUGGAACAGAUCGAAAUAAAUAAAUUACUUGGAAAUCAAGCAAACAUCCAUCGGUGUAUAGAGCAUCUAGAAUUUAAUUAAAUAAAAGAUCAUUGUACAGUGUGUGUGUUUGAAUUAAGCACCAUGUAGCCCUGCGAAAAUAGUCAUGACCAAAUCAAGGACAUGCAUAUUGGUAAGCUACGACUGUUUGGAUUGUAGCCCAAUAGUGAAUGCCAAAUUUUUGCAAAAACGUUGGCUUCUGUUUGAUUUCAGGCCAAAAUUACUUGUAAAAUAUACUUUCUUCUUCGACUUAUUUUUGGUGGAAAGAAGAAAAAGAAUCAGCUAUAUGGAAUAUUAUACUUCAGAUCUAGCAAAUCACAAUUGGUUUUGAAAUAGAAUAGUUCAGAUCUAGCAAACAAUACACAAGUGCAAGCACAUCUCGUACUGACAGAGCAACGCGUGGGUAAUUUGCAAUUUGCCAUAGAAAAGGGGUUGAAAGGUGGAG
rnacentral:lncRNA from 1 species